rnacentral:rRNA from 1 species
GACGAACGCUGGCGGCGUGCUUAACACAUGCAAGUCGAACGGUAAGGCCCUUCGGGGUACACGAGUGGCGAACGGGUGAGUAACACGUGGGUGAUCUGCCCUGCACUUCGGGAUAAGCCUGGGAAACUGGGUCUAAUACCGGAUAGGACCACUGCCUGCAUGGGUGGUGGUGGAAAGCUUUUGCGGUGUGGGAUGGGCCCGCGGCCUAUCAGCUUGUUGGUGGGGUGAUGGCCUACCAAGGCGGCGACGGGUAGGCGGCCUGAGAGGGUGAGCCGCCACACGGGGACUGAGAUACGGCCCAGACUCCUACGGGAGGCAGCAGUGGGGAAUAUUGCACAAUGGGCGCAAGCCUGAUGCAGCGACGCCGCGUGAGGGAUGACGGCCUUCGGGUUGUAAACCUCUUUCAGCACCGACGAAGCGCAAGUGACGGUAGGUGCAGAAGAAGGACCGGCCAACUACGUGCCAGCCGCCGCGGUAA